rnacentral:rRNA from 1 species
UACGAGGGGGGCAAGCGUUGUUCGGAAUUAUUGGGCGUAAAGGGUGCGUAGGCGGUUUGGUAAGUCUUAUGUGAAAUCUACAGGCUCAACUUGUAGUCUGCAUGAGAAACUGCCGGGCUUGAGUAUGGGAGAGGUGAGUGGAAUUCCUGGUGUAGCGGUGAAAUGCGUAGAUAUCAGGAGGAACACCGAUGGCGAAGGCAGGUCUCUGGGCCACUACUGACGCUGAGAAGCGAAAGCAUGGGGGAGCGAACAGG